rnacentral:rRNA from 1 species
GACGAACGCUGGCGGCGUGCUUAACACAUGCAAGUCGAACGGGAAGGCCCUGCUUUUGUGGGGGGCUCGAGUGGCGAACGGGUGAGUAACACGUGAGUAGCCUGCCCUUGACUUUGGGAUAACUUCAGGAAACUGGGGCUAAUACCGGAUAGGAGCUCCUGCUGCAUGGUGGGGGUUGGAAAGUUUCGGCGGUUGGGGAUGGACUCGCGGCUUAUCAGCUUAUUGGUGGGGUAGUGGCUUACCAAGGCUUUGACGGGUAGCCGGCCUGACAAGGUGACCGGCCACAUUGGGACUACGAUACGGCCCCGAAUCCUACUGGAGGCAGCAGUGGGGAAUAUUGCACCAUGGGCGGAAGCCUCAUGCAGCAACGCCGCGUGCGGGAUGACGGCCUUCGGGUUGUAAACCGCUUCCGCCUGUGACGAAGAGUGAGUGACGGUAAUGGGUAAAGAAGCACCGGCUAACUACGUG